CAGCUCCAGGGCUGCACCACUGUGGGCACAUCAAGCUUCGUCCGGCUCACCUGCAUGGUUCCGGCUGACUCCCGCCUGAGAUGGCCCAUCGUACAACUAGAAUCCCAGAAUCUCCUGUCUGCACCCUGCGGAAGGACCUACUGCAAUCCCUGGCCAGGGUCUCUCACAGCCGGAUGGGGUCUUGGAAGACAGGGUGAAGUUGCAGAAGAUUGGGGUGGGAUGCUAGAGGCAUGUGGAGGACUUGGAAAGGGAAUUUAGGAAUACUAUACAUCAGUGCCCACCGAUGCUAUGCAUACAGGGGAGGGCAGCCACAGCCCCUGCCUCAUGUGCCUAACUCCGGCUGCUCUCUGGGAUUAGUCUGAGGGGGACAACCCAGGUCUGGAUGUGGUGGCAUUUUCCCAGAGAAUGGAACUGAAGAUGGAUGAACCAGGUACUUGCUGUGUCUGCCUGACAGGGCAGAGCUGGAGAAAUGGAAAGGGAGCAGAAGAGCUGCUGAGUGUCCUGAGAUUGUCUGCUGCCCUCUCUGCAGUCUUAGUCUAAGGAAGGAUGGCAUAAUGGAUCUGCCAGUACAUGCAUGGAGGACCUGUAAAUUGCAAUGUGGAUGUCCCUGGUACUGUCAAGGAAGAAACUGAUGGGCUGGGUGACAAUACAGUGUCCCAGAGAAAA
rnacentral:lncRNA from 1 species